CCUAACAGCUAGCCCACUAAUUCAUCCAACAUCCACUUAUUAAUAACCCCUCACACACUAAAACUAAAAAUCAAACCAUUUUUCCCCCUAAGUAUGGGCGACAGAAAAGGAACCCAGGAGCAACAGAAAAAGUACCGCAAGGGAACGCUGAAAGAGAAAUGAAACAACCCAGUAAAGCCCAAAAAAGCAGAGAUUCCAUCUCGUACCUUUUGCAUCAUGAUUUAGCAAGUAUAACCAAGCAAAAAGAAUUUUAGUUUGGCCCCCCGAAACCAAGUGAGCUACUCCAAGACAACCUAAAAUAAGGGUAAACCCGUCUCUGUGGCAAAAGAGUGGGAAGAGCUUUGAGUAGCGGUGACAGACCUAUCGAACUUGGUAAUAGCUGGUUGCUUGAGAAAUGAAUAGGAGUUCUGCUUCUUAUAUUCUCACCCCGCUCUGGUCGUUUGAGCCCUACCGCAGGUAAAAGAAGAUAAGAAAGUUAAUCAAAGGGGGUACAGCCCCUUUGAGACAAAGUACAACUUUUUUAGGAGGGUAAAGAUCAUAAUUUUUAAGGUGACUAUGUUUUGGUGGGCCUAAAAGCAGCCAUCCCAUUAGAAAGCGUUAAAGCUCUAACAUAUCCUCCGCCCCCGAUCCCGAUAACAAAUCUUAGCCCCCUACACAUAUCAAGCCGUCCCAUACAAACCAUGGGAGCGAUUAUGCUAAAAUGAGUAAUCAGAGAGCCCCACCUCUCUCCCUGUACAUGUGUAAAUCGGAACGGACCCUCCACCGAAACUUAACGGCCCCAAAACAACAGCGGGUACUGAAUGAUCAGCAGUUAACAAGAAAAUCAUCCAAAAUAUUGCCGUUGACCCCACACUGGUGUACUUCAAAAGAAAGACCAAAAGGAAAAGAAGGAACUCGGCAAAACCAUCAAAGCCUCGCCUGUUUACCAAAAACAUCGCCUCUUGCUAAUUACACAUAAGAGGUCCCGCCUGCCCUGUGACCCCCAGUUUAACGGCCGCGGUAUUUUGACCGUGCAAAGGUAGCGCAAUCACUUGUCCCUUAAAUGAGGACCUGUAUGAAUGGCACAACGAGGGCUUAACUGUCUCCUUUCCCCGGUCAAUGAAAUUGAUCUUCCCGUGCAGAAGCGGGAAUUCUAACAUAAGACGAGAAGACCCUAUGGAGCUUUAGACUCCAGAAUAGACCAUGUCAGCUAUUCCCGUUAAACAUAAUAGCAACUAUUGAGCCUCUAUUCUCUGUCUUUGGUUGGGGCGACCACGGGGAAGAAAAAAUCCCCCAUGUGGACCGGGAGCACCAAUCUCACUCCCACAACCACGAGCCACAGCUCUAAUGCGCAGAACUUCUGACCAUAUAGAUCCGGCAACUAGCCGAUCAACGGACCGAGUUACCCUAGGGAUAACAGCGCAAUCCCCUUUAAGAGUCCCUAUCGACAAGGGGGUUUACGACCUCGAUGUUGGAUCAAGACAUCCUAAUGGUGCAGCCGCUAUUAAGGGUUCGUUUGU
rnacentral:rRNA from 1 species